GGAGAGAGUAAGUCGGAAUGCAUCAAACGGAUCCCAAUGAAAUUGAUCCGAAUCUACGAGAGCGCAAGCGAAUAUUACUACAGAAUAUCAGGGGUUACAUGCAAAAAGUUCUUCUUCCCAUUCCCCUGAAACUGAAAAAGAUUUGGCACGAAUCGAACCCUCCAAUCCAUUGCUUGCCCUUUUUUGUGUCCUCCAGCUUCUAGAAACUUCUAGAACCCAAGUAAGUCCAAGCCGCCGCCGCCGCCGCCUACAGUUGCUUGCAAGCCGCAUUGGCCCAGCCUCCAGGUUUGGCGCUCACCACCUGUUCGACGAAAUGCGGCAAGAGGGAGCAGAUGUGCGCGGCAGCCACAAGAUCAAGAAGACGACUGCUGAUGUGGAAGGCGGGGGUGAAUGGAUCAACGCCCUCCCGGAAGAGGUCCUGCAGCACGUGAUGUCGUUCCUGCCGGCGAAGCAGGCCGUCCGGACCUGCGUCCUCGCCCGGCGCUGGCGCCACCUGUGGAAAUCCAUGCCUGCUCUGCGUUCCAUCCAUGGUAUCUGAACAAGCACGAUGUCAGGAACCUGAACAGGUUUAUGAAUUGUUUGAUUCGCUACCGGGACCGCAGAAUGCCACUAGAUAUGUGCGAGAUCAAAAUCGGUGCUUUUGGGGAGGGCUGUGGUGAACCACAGGUUGACUCACUUAUCAGAUAUGCCUCUGUUGCGCAAAGCUCGGAUAAUGAAGGUCGAAUUGCAUGAGCACAACGAUAACUUUUUCUCUAGCCAAGCUGCCUCUUAUCUCCCAGCGCUUGACGAGGUUAGAGCUUAGUAAUGUGCCAUUAUUAUGUGGUUUUGUUGAUUCUUUGAGCUUCCCAGCAUGGAGGCCCUAUGGAUGAAGUUCUGCUAUAUAGACGGUGAGAAGAUAUCGUCUCAGUCACUUAAAGAGCUGACCAUGAUUGACUGUAUAUUUUUUCGCCAAUUUCGGAUUUCUGCUCCAAGUUUGGUGAGGUUGGAAAUAACUGAUUGUGUGGGUAAAGCUCCUGUGCUGGAAAUAAUGCCAUCUCUAGUAAAGGCAUUUAUCAGGUUCCGAGACUCUAGAGAUAUUUGUGGUAAAGAAGAAUUUGGGGGUAGUUGUACUAAUGCUAGCUGUGAUAAUUGUGGUGCUAAUGGUGUUGACAGUGGAGAUUGUGUGCUUCUGAAGGGUAUUUCAAUGGCAAAAAGCUUGGAGUUGGUAGCUGAACCUGGUGCGGUAUGUUUUUGCCUACUUUGUGCUUAAUUCUGUUGUUGUGUAUGAUCGACUGUUUGUGUUGUGCUAUCUGUAUCGUUGUUUUAUUUGUUUAGUAUAUGUAUUCUGUAAAUUAGCACAAUGUGGCUUAUGUGUGUGGCUACCGAUAAGAUAUCUUUAAUGUCAUGCUACAUCAAGGUGGUUUAUCUGUGA